rnacentral:rRNA from 1 species
CCGCCAGAGUACUACGAGCCACAGCUUAAAACUCAAAGGACUUGACGGUGCUCUACACCCACCUAGAGGAGCCUGUUCUAUAAUCGAUAAUCCACGAUAAACCUCACCACCAAUUGCAAGCACAGCCUAUAUACCACCGUCCCCAGCUUACCUCACAAGAGAAAAACAGUAAGCAAAACUAUUAAAAAUAAAAACGUCAGGUCAAGGUGUAGCAUAUAUGGCGGAAAGAAAUGGGCUACAUUUUCUAUACAGAAAAUACGGACAACCUAAUGAAAUAUUAGACCUGAAGGAGAAUUUAGCAGUAAAGAGAAAAAAGAGAGUUCUCUUUAAGUUGGCAAUAGAGCGUGU